rnacentral:rRNA from 1 species
UACGUAGGGUGCAAGCGUUGUCCGGAAUUAUUGGGCGUAAAGAGCUCGUAGGUGGUUUGUCGCGUUGUUCGUGAAAACCUGAGGCUUAACCUUGGGCGUGCGGGCGAUACGGGCAGACUGGAGUACUGCAGGGGAGACUGGAAUUCCUGGUGUAGCGGUGGAAUGCGCAGAUAUCAGGAGGAACACCGGUGGCGAAGGCGGGUCUCUGGGCAGUAACUGACGCUGAGGAGCGAAAGCGUGGGGAGCGAACAGG